rnacentral:sRNA from 1 species
UUUUCUGUUGGGAUUCAAGGGAUUGUGAACAAAUGGAAAAAAGCGACGAUCACAACAAAAAGCACAAGUACAAGGGUUAAUUUUGAGACACGGAAAGUCAAAGUUCAAGGAGUUGGAAGGGGCGGCACAGAGUUACACUGAAAUAAGCAAUGGCAGGAUUAAUACCGUUAAUAGAGUCAAGCGUAUUGUACAUAAUAAUGCAUUUGGUAAGAGAUGGUAUGCCCAAAAUGGGAUAUGUGCGUGCCCGUGGCGUGACACG